rnacentral:tRNA from 1 species
GGUAGGGUGGCCGAAAGCAGGCGGCAGGUUGUAGCCCUGUUCAUGCGGGCUCAACCCCGUCCCUAUCAA